rnacentral:rRNA from 1 species
AUUGAACGCUGGCGGCAGGCCUAACACAUGCAAGUCGAGCGAGCGGCGGACGGGUGAGUACUGUCUGGGAACCUGCCUGAUGUCGGGGGAUAACUACUGGAAACGGUAGCUAAUACCGCAUACCAUCAGCUUUGCCCAGAUGGGAUUAGCUAGUCGGUGGGGUAACGGCUCACCUAGGCGACUAUCCCUAGCUGGUCUGAGAGGAUGACCAGCCACACUGGAACUGAGACACGGUCCAGACUCCUACGGGAGGCAGCAGUGGGGAAUAUUGCACAAUGGGCGCAAGCCUGAUGCAGCAAUGCCGCGUGUGUGAAGAAGGCCUUCGGGUUGUAAAGCACUUUCAGCGGGGAGGCGUUACCCGAAGAAGAAGCAACGGCUAACUCCGUGCCAGCAGCCGCGGUAAUUC